rnacentral:misc_RNA from 1 species
UUCAUUGACUAUUUAGGCAUCAGAUCAUAAUAAACUCGAGUUUAUUCAUUUUUCUUUUCUCUGCCUUCAAUCUAACCUCCUGUUUAUUAUUUUUAACUCUCUCAUCUUAUGGCAAAGAAUAACCAAUUUUUAAAGAAUAUAUUUCAUGGAUUAAGAAUUUCUAUUUUAUUAUUUCCCCCUUCUAAUCUGUUGUAUUCUUUAACACUGCACGUUGUUAUAAUGUGUACAUGAAUAAUGGAUAUCAAGCUUCACUCUAUGUUGAUGGCAUUUAGGAGCUCCUUCAGAAGCUUCCAUUGCCAAUUAAGCAUAACAUGUUUCCUAACCCAUUCACUGAGAGAUUGAUUUGACUUCUCAGUUUCAAGAAAAGGGUAUGAACUAUAAUAUAUGUAGUGUGAAGUAGAAAAGUAGAGAAUUUUAACUAUAGGUUAAUUUGAUUUAUGUAGCUAGAAAAGCUGGGUUUGUGACACAUGACCAUGCUAAAUAAAGUAAAUAAUUGUAUUUUUUCUGCUCCAUGGGUCUAACAUAUCACUUCACUUCUUGGCACAAACUUCCCCACUUCAACUUAUCUCCUCUAGAAUACCCAAUCUGCAUUGAUUACAUGCAUCAUUAUGGCUUUGUUUCUUCUUGUUUAUAUGUUCUGUUUAAACAUGGAAUUAUUGGCUUUUGUCAUUGCCUUAAGGGCUUGGCGCCAUUGACUAUUAACGUGC